GGGAGUAACUACUGGAAACGGUAGCUAAUACCGCAUAACGUCGCAAGACCAAAGUGGGGGACCUUCGGGCCUCAUGCCAUCAGAUGUGCCCAGAUGGGAUUAGCUAGUAGGUGGGGUAAUGGCCCACCUAGGCGACGAUCCCUAGCUGGUCUGAGAGGAUGACCAGCCACACUGGAACUGAGACACGGUCCAG
rnacentral:rRNA from 1 species